AUCAAACCCAGUGCCUCACAGGUGCUAGGCAAGCACUCUGCCACUGAGCUACAGCCCCAGCCCCUGAGAGCCACUUUUUGAGUCAUCUAAUAUAUUUUCUCAAAACACAUCACCUUCGCUGCCUUUUAAGUGGUUUGAGCGCACUUUGAAAAAUCAAUUUUAUUGAGGAAUACAUGCAAAAUGCACCUAUUUUAAAUGUAAAGUUUAAUAAAGUUUGACAAAUAUAUUUCCUUUGUGAACUCCACCCAAUCCAGAUGCAGAACUUUCCCUUACCCCAGAUUUCCUCUUGCCCUUUGCAGCAUCCCCCCUUCGCCCCCCCACUCUCAUCAGGCAACCACUGGUUUACUUCCUGUCACUGCAGGUGAGUCUUGCCUAUUCAUAAACAGAAUCGUAGAGUGAUUCAUCCAUGUUGUUGCAGACAGGUGCUGUGAUGCUGUCACUGGAAAUUUUAAGUAUUGUUACCUUCUGGUAUACUGCUAAAACAGAUUUUUCCCCCUCCAUUUCUCCUGUAGCUAUAAGUGAUUUUCAUAAUAAUCACUGUAUCAUUUUAAACAUUUUAUGUAGAAUCUUAAAUGUGCAUAGACAGGGAAGUACGUAUGGUGUGCUUCCAUGGUCAUCCAGCUUUGGCGGUGGUUAUUGUUUUCUGUGGUGCUGGGGAUGGAACCCAGGGCCUCACAUAUGCUGGACAAGGGCUGUACCACUAAAUUAUACCUCCAGCCCCAGGGAACUAGGCACACUUGUUUCAUGCCAAACUUUACCCACUAAACCCCUCCCAUGUUAUUUUGACACAACCCUCAACUCUUUGUUAUCCAUAAAUAUUUGUAUUUAUAAAAUAUUGUUUUUAAAAAAUAUAUACAUAAGUACAAGAUAAUUACCAAGCCUAAAAAAUUUUUAAAAAGUCAAUUGCUAUUUAGUGACUUUCAAAAGUCUUGUUUACAUGGAAUACUUGGGAUUGGUGAGGAAUGAUUACCAAAUCUAUGUAAACUUCUUCGCCUCCUUGUUUACUCGUUUUGUCAGGGGUCUACUUAUAAGCAUCUAAAACUAGCUUGACUGAGAUCAUUUCAGGGUAGUGUUUCUUCCAAAAAAGUGCUUUUCAGUUCAAGUUAAAAAGUGUCUCAUUAUAUGAGGGAAUUCUAAGGACUGAAAUAUGUCAACUUGUUGUUUUCCCAGAAGACAAUACUCCCUCGUCCCUAUGGUGGAAAUGCCCAUAUUCAGUGUUUAUGCCAUUUAGAAAGUCAUUUUCUCAAUUACUGGAUGUGGGAUUGAGACAAAGAAGUGAAGAAUGGGGCUGCCUGGUUUCCAGGUUGGGGGUCUAGUAGAGGUAGUGCCUUUCGCUGAGGUAGGAAAGCCAGGCCUGACAGUAGUUCCAGAGUUGAUGUUCAGGUGCCCCUGGAUAUCCCCUGCAGAGGUUCAAUGUCUGGAGUUCAGGAGAAAGGCUGGAGGUAAUCAGGAG
rnacentral:lncRNA from 1 species